GGAACCAACAGGAUCUCGCGAGACCAAGCUCCCACGCCCCCCCGCCGCUCCGCCCAUCGCGGCAUCCUGCUGGGCUUCGCCCCGCCCCUUUCUGAGCUCAGCCAAUCAGCACUCUGCGGGCCCGCAGCGACCUGCGCCCAGCUCCGCACUGCCGUCAACUGUUCGGACAAGGGACCUCCGCCGGCACCGCUUAGCGACUGUUUUGCCAUGUAGAACUAUUCCGUUUCCUGAAGGAACACUAUUCCAGCCACAUCACCUGCUGAUGGACACUUGGGUGUCUUCUACACACGCAUUCUAAUGCUGAAGGCUAACAUAACAGUCACCUGGAUGGCUUCACACAGCACCUGCUGAAGACAGAUGCAGAGACCCACAACCAAACAUUAGGCAGAGCUCGGGAAUCUUGUGGAAGAGGAGGAGGAAGGAUUGAAGGAGCCAGAGAGGUCAAGGACACCACAAGAAAACCUACAGCAUCAACUACCCUGGACCUACAGGGCCUCACAGAGACUGAGCAUCAACCAGAGAGCAUCCUUGGGACAGACCUAGGCCCCUGAGACAUACUUAACAGAUGUACAGCGUGGUCCUCAUGUGGGACCUCUAACAGCAGACGCAGGGGCUGCCUCUGACUCUUUGCCUUUGGAUCCCUUUCCCCUAAAUACACAGCCUUGUCUAGGCUCAGUAGAAGAGGAUGCGGCCCAGUCCUAUUGCUACGCCAAGGCAGAUUGAUGUCCAUGGGAAGUCUCCCCUUCUCUGAGAAAAAAAGGAAGAGGUACAGGGGGAGGGGAGGGGAGAGAGAAGGACUGAGAGGAAAAGAGGGAGGGGAACUUCCUACCCAGAUGUAAAUUUAAUUAAUUAAUGAAAAAAAUGACAGAAUUAAAGAACUGCAAGUUU